AUUUACCUCUCUCCACAUAUCAGAGGUCUUCUAAACCAUGCCACUUAUUUAGACUGCAUUACUUUGCUAUAAAGUUCAACUGUGUAACCCUCCAAACAUAAGGUUAAGUCUGAUUAAAAAAUACAUAAAGAUACAACAUGAAGAGCUGCUGCGCCGACCUUUUGUAUGUGAUGGCGAUAUUGUCCUUCGUUCUUUUUGUGUGCCUUCCUCUCCCUUGUAAGUUUACAUCACCGUCUCGUCUUUGGGUUAACAUGUAUGUGUGUUUGUGUAUUAUAUGCUGAUGUAGUACUGAUGAAAAAAAAUCUCCAAUAGCGGCGCUCUCUAAGACUGGAGAUACACAAACUUACCAAAAUAGUGCUACCAACAAGAAAUUAGCCAGGAACACAUCGGUACCGCAUGAGACCAAGUUCACUGUUACAUUCUGUGCUAACGAUACAUGUGAUGGGGACCGUGACUGCUAUUGCUGUCAGCACAAUAGGAAUGAUCUUUGCUACUGGACAAGGGCUGAGUGUCAGGCUGAGUGCCCCGCAUGCGCCCCUCAUUGCCCACCAUAGCCACAGCAUCGAACAUCGUUGAUGGAAGGCCGUCAACAAUCUUUCUAACGGUCUAUCAAUGGAGGCAAUAUAAUUAUUGUUGAUGUAAUGGUGUUGAAUAAAUUAAACAUGCAUAUUCAUGGUGUUCUGAGCAGUGAGUUGAUGGUUUGCAAUAUAUGUUACUGCAAUGAUGUGAAAUGCAAUAUAUAAAUC
rnacentral:lncRNA from 1 species